AGGAAGCUCGGGGCACCGAACCCCGCCCCUGGGGGGCCGGCCAGGGGCUCUGGGCUGGAAGGCUCGCCCGCCGGUGAGCGGCCUCGGCCCCGACGCACGCCCCGUCUGCUCUGAGCCUCGCUCUCCCCGGGCGUGCGCUCGCGCCCCUCCGGCCCUGCCCCCCCACCUCCCCGCGGCUCGGCGGGCGCGGAGGGGGCAAUUCUGGUGUCGAAGGACGGAACAGCCGGGCUGUUCCUAGGAGGGGCCGCCCCCAUUGGCUGCCCUCCUCCGCCCCGCCCCCCGCGCCGCCCGUUACGUAACCCUUCCCCCCCCGCCCCCCGGCCUCCGCUGGGGUUGGGGGCCAGGAAAGGAGAGGCCCCGGCCCUUCCCUGGGCGCGGUCCUGCGUGGUUCAGCAACCUUCCCUGCCGCUUAACGCCCAGGGGGAAACUGAGGCCGUUGUCUAGAGGGGCCCAGCGAGGUGAGAAUUGAUGUCCUUUUACAGUUGAGGAAACCAAGAGGUGGAGUAACUCCUCCAGAAAAAGACACAGCGAGAGAGGGAACACAAGCAAGUUGCUGAGUGGGAGAGGGAGAAGCAGGCUUCCCGCCGAGCAGGGAGCCCGAUGCGGGGCUCGAUCCCAGGACCCUGGGAUCAUGACCUGAGCCGAAGGCAGACGCUUAAGGACUGAGCCACCCCGGCGCCCCUUGACUUCUGUUUUAAAGAGUGCUUAAGAGAAGGACAAAAACGAGGUAAGAAAGGUGGCUGCUACAGUCAAUGAUACGGUAAUGGAGUUUCCAGAAAGAGGUUAUAACAAAAAGCGAAAGAAGGUUAAGAAGAAAACCAGUAUGUUUUAAAGGGGAAAAGGAGGGAUAAUGAUGAGGGAACUCCUCAGGCCCCCAAACCAGGAGUACCUAUAAAAUAUUCAGGCACCUCAAGCCUGAACAACCAAAUGGUCCUACAACCAAGCACUAUCAGGUUCAAAGGAGUCUGGAAAGAGGAGUCGGGAAGGAGGGGGUCCUCAAUUUUGACAAGGCCAGCAGGUGUCGCACACUGAAUCCCAGGGAGCGAGAGCCAGGUUCCGUGGGACCGCCUGGCCCCACCCCACCAGUCUCAAGAGGCAGCGACCCAGGCCGGCGGGUAUGCUUGCAGCCCUUCCAGGACUUGUGCCGACGGGACCACAGCACCCCGCCCAGAGUCUCCACCAUGUCCCUCAAACAUGGACUGUGCAAGCCCAGCUGUUCCGACUAAGAAGGCCCUUUCUGGGGCACUCGAUUCCUGCGAAGCCAGGAAGACUUCACUGAACUCCAACGUAGGCCGGGAGUGAAGGCGCGCUCUGCACUCUGGGAACUGUAGUCCUCAGACGCCUCACGCUCAGACUGGAGCAAGUGACCUACUUUCUCUGCACACUACACUUCCCUAUGUGCUUUGCGAAGGUUCAGCCAGCGAAUUACGCAUGCCCGGUAAGGGGAGCUGGCCGAGGUUCGGAGAACCGAGGAAAAGUUUCCGAUGCACAUGCGCGCUGUGGUGGACGCCCCCAUCCCCCCGCCCACCGCUUAAUACAUUUUAUAUAAAUUUA